GUACUCACUUCAGCAGCACAUAAACUAAAAAUGGAACAAUACAGAGAUUAGCAUGACUCCUGCACAAGGAUGACAAGCAAAUCCAUGAAGCAUUCCAAAUUUUU
ensembl:snRNA U6 U6 spliceosomal RNA